AUAUUUUUUUUUUUUUUUUUUUUUUUUGCAAAUCAGAAACACAGGAAGGA
rnacentral:ribozyme from 1 species